CUCUUACCCAUGUCUUUUGAGUACCUUCGUUUCGUCGGCGGGUCCGCCCGCCGAUUGGACAAUUUAAACCAUUUGCGGUUGCUAUCAGCGUCUGAAAAAACUUAAUAAUUACAACUUUCAACAACGGAUCUCUUGGUUCUGGCUUCGAUAAGAACGCAACCGCAGCCCGCAGCGAGUUGUUGGCUUUGCCUGCUAUCUCUUACCCAUGUCUUUUGAGUACCUUCGUUUCCGCGGCGGGUCCGCCCGCCAAUUGGACAAU
rnacentral:misc_RNA from 1 species